GACGAACGCUGGCGGCGUGCUUAACACAUGCAAGUCGAACGGAGCGAAUGAAAGCUUGCUUUUAUGAGCUUAGUGGCAAACGGGUGAGUAACACGUAGACAACCUGCCGACAGGAUGGGGACAACAUUCCGAAAGGAAUGCUAAUACCGAAUGAAGCGGAGGAGAGGCAUCUCUCUUCCGUGAAAGAUGGCCUCUGAACAUGCUAUCACCUGUCGAUGGGUCUGCGUCUGAUUAGCUGGUUGGUGAGGUAACGGCUCACCAAGGCGACGAUCAGUAGCCGGUCUGAGAGGAUGAACGGCCACAUUGGGACUGAGACACGGCCCAGACUCCUACGGGAGGCAGCAGUGGGGAAUCUUCCGCAAUGGGCGCAAGCCUGACGGAGCAACGCCGCGUGAGUGAAGAAGGUCUUCGGAUCGUAAAGCUCUGUUGACGGGGACGAACGUGCGAAGGGUGAAUAAA
rnacentral:rRNA from 1 species